UCUAUCUCUUCUUCUCCUUCCUCUCUUGACAUUGAUAAAAAUAUAUUUUUUAAAAAGAGCAUAGCAAAAAUAAAGUUUAAGAAAAUGAUGCUAGCAAAAUACUUCUUUAAAAUUUUCUCACCAAGGUACUAACAGUAUGCAGUGUAUACUAGGAAGGGGAUUUGUCAAGGACUCACUCAAAACUGAACAACCUGAAUGGUCAGAAAGACAAACAGGUGGGUCCUAGAGCCCACCUCUAAUUAUCUGGUUAUUAAAUUAAGCCUGAAACAUACAUCACUUGAGGCAAAAAUGACAAAACUGAAGCUAUUUGUACAUUGGGCACAUCAUGAAAAGGCGGUUCCUUUGGAAAAGACAAUAAUGCUGAAAAAAUAAAAGGCAGCAGGAAGAGGAAGACCAAAUAUGAGAUGGAUUGACUCUACACAGAAGCCAUGGACAUGAGUCUACAGGACCCAAGCAGAGUCAUGGAGGACAGGACUUUUGUGGACAUCACUCAGUCUCCGGUAGUAGGAGCCAAAUCAACUGCAGGAACAUUUGCUCUGGAAAGCUGCCCAGCAGGAACCAUUUCAUAGCAAGCCCGGCAGAGAAGCAGCUUAGGAAUGGAACUCACCCGGAUAAAUCCCCAGAGGGGCGGGGCCUCAGCGAGCUGGCGCUUCCCGGUGGGUGGGCUCCCGACCUGCGCCCCGCCCCGGAAGUCGCGUGAGUGCGUAGCAGGAAAAGGUGGGCGGGUCUGCAGUCCUUUACAGUUCUGGCCCUGGAGCUACGGCUCUAGGCAGAGCUUCCUGCUUCUGGUCGGAGCCUUCGCGCUCCCUCCGGGCCGGCGUUUGCUCCGUGGAGCCGAGCCAGCUCCGCAGUCACUGUCAGGCUCCGCACUGUUGCCGCCAUUACAGUCGGGCGGUUUCCCGGCUCCAGCCCUGGCGGAGGCCCACCUACCGGAGAAUCCCGCGUCCCUAGGACCUCGCGGCGGCCGCAUUCACUAAAGCGGGGAUUGUUUUGCUGAAGAGAUCGUGAAAGCUGAGCGCUUGGCGUCCCCCACCCCCGACCCCCAAACAGUACCGAACAGGUUUGCGGGUCCGGAGACGGCGUUUUGGGGACAAACAUGCAUUUUUGAACAUUUCGACUUGUUCUUGCCAUCAUUUCUUUCAAGUAUUAUUACUUUCAUGCAAGAUACACAUUCCCGAACUAGUGUGAUAAUGCCUUUGAAUUACCUUCCUCCCGUCGAAAAGUGUAAACUAAGCUACACUGGCAUCGCCAGUCGCGUUAGGCUCAUUAUAACGUAGGCUGUACACAAAAAUGAAGAGCUCCAUAAAAUCCCUUGCAGGAAACUGGUCUGUGAAAGACUCCCCAGAUCGCCUUGUGGAUAAUACUUAAGUUUUUAUCUAGUUUAAAUCUAGAUUUGAAAUUUGUAGCCGUUUGGGAACAUACUGGGCUGUUCUUCCUUUAUUACAGAACAAAAACUUU